UACAGGGGGUGCAAACGUUGCUCGGAAUCAUUGGGCGUAAAGCGCGCGUAGGUGGUCGUUUAAGUUGGAUGUGAAAGCCCUCGGCUCAACUGAGGAAGUGCAUCCAAAACUGAUCGGCUAGAGUACGAAAGAGGGUCGCGGAAUUCCCGGUGUAGAGGUGAAAUUCGUAGAUAUCGGGAGGAACACCAGUGGCGAAGGCGGCGACCUGGUUCGAUACUGACGCUGAGGUGCGAAAGCGUGGGGAGCAAACAGG
rnacentral:rRNA from 1 species